rnacentral:rRNA from 1 species
AUUGAACGCUGGCGGAAUGCUUUACACAUGCAAGUCGAACGGUAGAGGGGGCAACCCCUCGAGAGUGGCGAACGGGUGAGUAAUAUAUCGGAACGUGCCCAGUCGUGGGGGAUAACGUAGCGAAAGUUACGCUAAUACCGCAUACGAUCUAAGGAUGAAAGCGGGGGAUCGCAAGACCUCGCGCGAUUGGAGCGGCCGAUAUCAGAUUAGGUAGUUGGUGGGGUAAAGGCUCACCAAGCCAACGAUCUGUAGCUGGUCUGAGAGGACGACCAGCCACACUGGAACUGAGACACGGUCCAGACUCCUACGGGAGGCAGCAGUGGGGAAUUUUGGACAAUGGACGCAAGUCUGAUCCAGCCAUUCUGCGUGCAGGAUGAGGGCCCUCGGGUUGUAAACUGCUUUUGUACGGAACGAAAAGGUCUCUCUUAAUACGAGGGGCUCAUGACGGUACCGUAAGAAUAAGCACCGGCUAACUACGUGCCAGCCGCCGCGGUAA